GAUGAACGCUGGCGGCGUGCCUAAUACAUGCAAGUCGAGCGAACAGACGAGGAUCUUGCUCCUCUGACGUUAGCGGCGGACGGGUGAGUCACACGUGGAUAACCUACCUAUAAGACUGGGAUAACUUCGGGAACCCGGAGCUCAUACCGGAUCAUAUAUUGAACCGCAUGGUUCAAUAGUGAAAGACGGUUUUGCUGUCACUUAUAGAUGGAUCCGCGCCGCAUUAGCUAGUUGGUAAGGUAACGGCUUACCAAGGCGACGAUGCGUAGCCGACCUGAGAGGGUGAUCGGCCACACUGGAACUGAGACACGGUCCAGACUCCUACGGGAGGCAGCAGUAGGGAAUCUUGCGCAAUGGGCGAAAGCCUGACGGAGCAACGCCGCGUGAGUGAUGAAGGUCUUCGGAUCGUAAAACUCUGUUAGUAGGGAAGAACAAAAGUGUAAGUAACUAUGCACGUCUUGACGGUACCUAAUCAGAAAGCAACGGCUAACUACGUG
rnacentral:rRNA from 1 species